UAUGAAGGGGGCUAGCGUUGUUCGGAAUUACUGGGCGUAAAGCGCACGUAGGCGGAUACUUAAGUCAGGGGUGAAAUCCCGGGGCUCAACCCCGGAACUGCCUUUGAUACUGGGUAUCUCGAGUCCGGAAGAGGUGAGUGGAAUUCCGAGUGUAGAGGUGAAAAUUCGUAGAUAUUCGGAGGAACACCAGUGGCGAAGGCGGCUCACUGGUCCGGUACUGACGCUGAGGUGCGAAAGCGUGGGGAGCAACAGG
rnacentral:rRNA from 1 species